AUGAACGCUGGCGGCGUGCCUAAUCCAUGCAAGUCGCGCGAACAGACGAGGAGCUUGCUCCUCUGACGUUAGCGGCGGACGGGUGAGUAACACGUGGAUAACCUACCUAUAAGACUGGGAUAACUUCGGGAAACCGGAGCUAAUACCGGAUAAUAUAUUGAACCGCAUGGUUCAAUAGUGAAAGACGGUUUUGCUGUCACUUAUAGAUGGAUCCGCGCCGCAUUAGCUAGUUGGUAAGGUAACGGCUUACCAAGGCAACGAUGCGUAGCCGACCUGAGAGGGUGAUCGGCCACACUGGAACUGAGACACGGUCCAGACUCCUACGGGUGGCAGCAGUAGGGAAUCUUCCGCAAUGGGCGAAAGCUUGACGGAGCAACGCCGCGUGAGUGAUGAAGGUCUUCGGAUCGUAAAACUCUGUUAUUAGGGAAGAACAAAUGUGUAAGUAACUAUGCACGUCUUGACGGUACCUAAUCAGAAAGCCACGGCUAACUACGUG
rnacentral:rRNA from 1 species